CCGGAUGUGUAGACGAGUUAAGUUUUAGCUGGAUUACGGCCAAAACAGUAGCUCAUAUUAUUUAUGAUUGCGUUAUCAUUUUUGAACCUGUCUUUAGAUCAUUCAAACCUGCAAUAAGACGGUUGUCCCGGGGAUCAAGUCAUUACAUUACAGCAACAUGUCUAGUUAACAGCGUAGAAUACUUCAUUUCAUCGAUGUUUUUGAAUGCCUUAUAUUUGUAUUUUAGUUCAUUUAGCCAUUUUUAUGCAUCUUUGUGUGGAGUUUGCAUGUUCUGCCUGUGCGUGCAUACCCCCCGGGACCCUGGUGAGGACAAGCGGCAUGGAAAAUGAAUGAAUUAAAGGAUGUAGGAGGAGGCCACAGAAAAUGUGCAAAUUCCACAGAUGCCCAGAGGUUUGAACCCUUGAUCUGAGUGUGAGGACAACAUGCUAAGCACUCGUCCACCAUGCGGCCCAUCGUUUUGUGCUACAACAGUUUGGGGAAAAGAGAGAUGGCUCCGUGGGCAUAAGGUGGGAAAUAUUUGUGAGUACUUUGCAUGACAGCUACAGAGAGUAGGACAAAAAAAGAACGCCUUACGUUUCACCAUCCAGUCCUCCUUCUCUCUCAGUGAUGGUGACAGUCUGGUUGUAAAUGGCAGUCUGAAACAUGUUGCCCUGAAGGAUGGUGCCAAACCCAUAAAAGGUGUUAGGAAUAUCAGGAAAUGUGUUAUGGGUGCUUUCUAACCUCAGCGUCAAGAUAGUUGAGGAGGAUGACAAGACCAAAUGGACGACCAGCCAUGGGCUGCGCUGGGAUGAAAGAGUACUCGAAGGAGGCUUGAGCGGCGGGAUGAACCAGAGUGUUCAGAGGCAAAGCUGUGAACUACACAAACGUUAUUCAAAGGAGAGUAUUUCAGGAAAAAUAUGGUCAUUUUUUGUCAAGCAGAAAAACAAGCUUGUGUAAGUUGUCACAUGAGAAUUGGGAUGGGCAUAAUAUUUCAUCUUUAAAAAUCCUGUUUUUUGUGUAAUUGAUCAUACAAGUAUAAGUUACUAAGGAAAAUGGGGGUGCACUACUUGACUGCAGCCAGCAUAGGCGCUGUUCCGUCUGUGCUAGUUUGUGGUCUAAAGCAGGGGUCCCCAA